UACGGAGGGUGCAAACGUUGCUCGGAAUCAUUGGGCGUAAAGCGCACGUAGGCGGUUCGUUAAGUCGGAUGUGAAAGCCCUGGGCUCAACCCAGGAAGAGCAUUCGAAACUGGCGGACUGGAGUAUGGAAGAGGGUCGCGGAAUUCCCGGUGUAGAGGUGAAAUUCGUAGAUAUCGGGAGGAACACCAGUGGCGAAGGCGGCGACCUGGGCCAAUACUGACGCUGAGGUGCGAAAGCGUGGGGAGCAAACAGG
rnacentral:rRNA from 1 species